rnacentral:rRNA from 1 species
AUUGAACGCUGGCGGCAGGCCUAACACAUGCAAGUCGAGCGGCAGCGGGACCUUCGGGUUGCCGGCGAGCGGCGGACGGGUGAGUAAUGCCUAGGAAUCUGCCUGUUAGUGGGGGAUAACGCGGGGAAACUCGCGCUAAUACCGCAUACGUCCUACGGUAGAAAGCGGGGGCUCUUCGGACCUCGCGCUAACAGAUGAGCCUAGGUCGGAUUAGCGAGUUGGUGGGGUAAUGGCCCACCAAGGCGACGAUCCGUAACUGGUCUGAGAGGAUGAUCAGUCACACUGGAACUGAGACACGGUCCAGACUCCUACGGGAGGCAGCAGUGGGGAAUAUUGGACAAUGGGCGAAAGCCUGAUCCAGCCAUGCCGCGUGUGUGAAGAAGGUCUUCGGAUUGUAAAGCACUUUAAGUCGGGAGGAAGGGCUGUAGGCUAAUACCUUGCAGUUUUGACGUUACCGACAGAAUAAGCACCGGCUAACUUCGUGCCAGCCGCCGCGGUAAAAC